rnacentral:rRNA from 1 species
GACGAACGCUUGCGGCGUGCUUAACACAUGCAAGUCGAACGGAAAGGCCCUGCUUUUGUGGGGUGCUCGAGUGGCGAACGGGUGAGUAACACGUGAGUAACCUGCCCUUGACUUUGGGAUAACUUCAGGAAACUGGGGCUAAUACCGGAUAGGAGCUCCUGCUGCAUGGUGGGGGUUGGAAAGUUUCGGCGGUUGGGGAUGGACUCGCGGCUUAUCAGCUUGUUGGUGGGGUAGUGGCUUACCAAGGCUUUGACGGGUAGCCGGCCUGAGAGGGUGACCGGCCACAUUGGGACUGAGAUACGGCCCAGACUCCUACGGGAGGCAGCAGUGGGGAAUAUUGCACAAUGGGCGGAAGCCUGAUGCAGCAACGCCGCGUGCGGGAUGACGGCCUUCGGGUUGUAAACCGCUUUCGCCUGUGACGAAGCGUGAGUGACGGUAAUGGGUAAAGAAGCACCGGCUAACUACGUGCCAGCAGCCGCGGUGAUACGUAGGGUGCGAGCGUUGUCCGGAUUUAUUGGGCGUAAAGGGCUCGUAGGUGGUUGAUCGCGUCGGAAGUGUAAUCUUGGGGCUUAACCCUGAGCGUGCUUUCGAUACGGGUUGACUUGAGGAAGGUAGGGGAGAAUGGAAUUCCUGGUGGAGCGGUGGAAUGCGCAAAUAUCUGGAGGAACACCAGUGGCGAAGGCGGUUCUCUGGGCCUUUCCUGACGCUGAGGAGCGAAAGCGUGGGGAGCGAACAGGCUUAGAUACCCUGGUAGUCCACGCUGUAAACGGUGGGUACUAGGUGUGGGGUCCAUUCCACGGGUUCCGUGCCGUAGCUAACGCUUUAAGUACCCCGCCUGGGGAGUACGGCCGCAAGGCUAAAACUCAAAGGAAUUGACGGGGCCCCGCACAAGCGGCGGAGCAUGCGGAUUAAUUCGAUGCAACGCGUAGAACCUUACCUGGGUUUGACAUGGAUCGGGAGUGCUCAGAGAUGGGUGUGCCUCUUUUGGGGUCGGUUCACAGGUGGUGCAUGGCUGUCGUCAGCUCGUGUCGUGAGAUGUUGGGUUAAGUCCCGCAACGAGCGCAACCCUUGUUCACUGUUGCCAGCACGUUAUGGUGGGGACUCAGUGGAGACCGCCGGGGUCAACUCGGAGGAAGGUGGGGAUGACGUCAAGUCAUCAUGCCCCUUAUGUCCAGGGCUUCACGCAUGCUACAAUGGCUGGUACAGAGAGUGGCGAGCCUGUGAGGGUGAGCGAAUCUCGGAAAGCCGGUCUCAGUUCGGAUUGGGGUCUGCAACUCGACCUCAUGAAGUCGGAGUCGCUAGUAAUCGCAGAUCAGCAACGCUGCGGUGAAUACGUUCCCGGG